rnacentral:lncRNA from 1 species
UUUCAGAUUACGUGCUCCCAAAUAUCCACAAUUUUCACGAUUUGCGCGAUAGAUAAGACUGGGAUUCGGGCCAGGUUCCGGGUUACAUGGUGACCUAUUAUUUCAACCCAAACCCAGUCCAUAUUUAAAUUCGGGUAGUCCAUAUUGCUAAAUUCCAAACUGGAGCGGGCAACCCGGACUAAACCCGGAAUCCAAUUCUUCACCCCUAGGCCGGUUGGAGCUGAAUUGGAGAAUGGAUCCGACCCGCUUAAUUUGGGCGGACCAGAAAAGUUGAAACCUAAUUCUCUAACCUAGAAAAAUGGAGUCAGCCGGCCGGCAACCUAAUCCUCUUACUCCGUCUCUACUCUCAUACUCAUCUCUUCCCGUCUCAUCUUCUUUGUCGAUCGGCGGCGUUCCCAUCUCAUCUCCCUGUCCAGGUAAUUUUUUCUCAUCCUUGGCUCUCCAAUGACUUUGAUUUCUGUAUCGAAGCUUGUUCCAUUCGAAAUUGACGUGAGGAAGGAAAAGAAAAGUGAAGAAAAAGGUUGUCAAAGUGAGGGUUGCGGAGUUUGUUUGAGAGAUUGAAUAAUUGGGUUUGGAAAUUGGAAUUGUGGUGUUUUCAUCUCAUGGUAUUCUUCUGAAGGGGGUUGUUACAUUAAAAUUUUUGGUGGGAAGAGAGCAACUUUGCUCAGCUUGCUUUGUCUUUUCUCCAUUGAAGCACAACAUGGAUUCCAGGAAGAAGACAGAGCUAGCUUCACAAGAGUAGAAGAAUACGAGGGUGUAGAAAAUUAGAAGGAACGAGAUGCUAAUACCGGCUGAAUGUAGGGUUUUUAGUGAUUGGAGUUGGACUGGGUUGGGUUGGGUUUUACCAAGUUAAAUCCGGAAUUUGGAAUUUCCUUGUUUUUUCAACACACAUCUGGUCUAGUAUUUAUAUCGAUGGGUUAUCGAGUACUCAAAACCAGGUUGAUCGGGUCGGACCGGGUAAAAAUAUGAUCAAAUUCGGUCCGAUUCCUAGCUUUAGCGGUAGAGUUAAUUAGUUGAGUUGGGGGACGUCCCAUAAGAAUUAAGAUACCUUAAAUAAGGUUAAAAAUAAAUACAAAAAUUAAUGUCAUGUACAUGAUAUUUACAGACACGAUGAUAUUAUAUGAAAAGUUAUAAGAAUCAUGAUACUCACGAUUUCAUAAUCACCUAAUAUGAUUGGAAUUUGAAUUCCAUUUUGUGAUGUUGAUUACUUUGAUGUGAUGUUAGGAUUACAUAAAGAUAUAA